rnacentral:pre_miRNA from 1 species
GCUUACGGAUGAGCAAAGAAAGUGGUUUCUUUGAGAUGGAAACUACUCCUGGUAAAGAUGCUGUGAA